rnacentral:rRNA from 1 species
UACGUAGGGUGCAAGCGUUGUCCGGAAUUAUUGGGCGUAAAGAGCUCGUAGGCGGUCUGUUGCGUCGGCUGUGAAAACCCGGGGCUCAACCCCGGGCCUGCAGCCGAUACGGGCAGACUAGAGUUCGGCAGGGGAGACUGGAAUUCCUGGUGUAGCGGUGAAAUGCGCAGAUAUCAGGAGGAACACCUGUGGCGAAAGCGAGUUACUGGUUCAUUACUGACACUGAGGAACGAAAGCUAGGGUAGCAAAAGGG